rnacentral:rRNA from 1 species
UACGUAGGCGGAAAAUUAAGUCAGUAGUGAAAUCCUGCAGCUUAACUGUAGAACUGUUAUUGAUACUGGUUUUCUUGAAUAUAGUUGAGGUAGGCGGAAUGUGUAAUGUAGCGGUGAAAUGCUUAGAUAUUACACAGAACACCGAUUGCGAAGGCAGCUUACUAAGCUAUGAUUGACGCUGAGGUACGAAAGCGUGGGGAGCGAACAGGAUUAAUACCCUGGUAGUCC